AGCUGGCCCCAGUGCAGUGGGGUUUAUAACUAAUGGAUCACAACCAGAUACAGAUUUCUUUGUUCCUUCUCCUACUGCUUUACUUGACUAGCCGCUUAA
ensembl:misc_RNA Y_RNA Y RNA